rnacentral:rRNA from 1 species
UACGGGGGGAGCAAGCGUUGUUCGGAAUUACUGGGCGUAAAGCGCACGUAGGCGGCUUUGUAAGUUAGAGGUGAAAGCCUGGAGCUCAACUCCAGAAUUGCCUUUAAGACUGCAUCGCUUGAAUCCAGGAGAGGUGAGUGGAAUUCCGAGUGUAGAGGUGAAAUUCGUAGAUAUUCGGAAGAACACCAGUGGCGAAGGCGGCUCACUGGACUGGUAUUGACGCUGAUGUGCGAAAGCGUGGGGAGCAACAGG